UAUUNGUACUNGUAAAGAGGAUUCCUAGUGGCGAACGGGUGAGUAACGCGUUGGUAACCUGCCCCAAAGUGGGGGACAANUCCGGGAAACNGGAGCUAAUACCCCAUGUGGUCAUGAGANUUAGAUGUCUCAUGUCUAAAGGAGUAAUCCGCUUUGGGAGGGGCNUGCGUCCCAUCAGCUAGUUGGUAGGGUAAUGGCCUACCAAGGCAUACGGGUAGGGGACCUGAGAGGGUGGCCCCCCACACUGGAACUGAAACACGGUCCAGACACCUACGGGUGGCAGCAGUAGGGAAUAUUGCACAAUGGGCGAAAGCCUGAUGCAGCAACGCCGCGUGCGCGAUGAAGGCCUUCGGGUUGUAAAGCGCUUUUCUGAGGGAAGAGGAAGGACGGUACCUCAGGAAUAAGUCUCGGCUAACUACGUGCCAGCAGCCGCGGUAACACGUAGGAGGCAAGCGUUAUCCGGAUUUACUGGGCGUAAAGCGCGUGUAGGCGGUUUGACAAGUCGGAUGUGAAAGCUCCUGGCUCAACUAGGAGAGGUCGUUCGAAACUGUCAGACUAGAGAAUGGUAGAGGAAGAUGGAGUUCCCGGUGUAGUAGUGAAAUGCGUAGAUAUCGGGAGGAACACCAGUGGCGAAGGCGGUCUUCUGGGCCAUUUCUGACGCUAAGACGCGAAAGCAUGGGUAGCGAACGGGAUUAGAAACCCCGGUAGUCCAUGCCGUAAACGAUGCGAACUAGGUGUCGGUGGUGUAAAAACUAUCGGUGCCGUAGUUAACGCGAUAAGUUCGCCGCCUGGGGACUACGGCCGCAAGGCUAUAACUCAAAUGAAUUGACGG
rnacentral:rRNA from 1 species